UCUAACAGGGUCAUUGUGGCAUUGUUUAAUAAACACUUUUUAUUACUUUAACUUCUGAUCUUCUUUGUCUCCACAGAUAUUUUGCACUAGGGCUGCUCUAUCAUUACAAUGGCCAGGACGCAGCAGCGCUUAAGUUGUGGAUCAGUGUGGCAGAUGGAGAUCUGCAGGACUCCACCAGGUCGGACCUGCACGAGUACAUAGUUAACUUUCUCUCCUCCUGCUCCAGCCUGGACCUUAUAUGGAAGUAUGCAGAAUGGGCCUUGCAGAAAGAUCCCACUACAGGCAUUCACAUUUUUACCAAGAGGCCCGUCAGCAAGGAUCAGCCAGAGUUAAAUCCAGAUGAUGUCCUUAACUACCUAAGAAAACACAACCAAGCACUACUGCUUUACCUGGAACAUCUGGUGUUGGAGAGAAAGAUAAAG